UACGUAGGGGCCUAGCGUUGUCCGGAAUUAUUGGGCGUAAAGAGCUCGUAGGCGGUUCGGCAAGUCGGAUGUGAAAUCUCCACGCUUAACGUGGAGGGGCCAUUCGAAACUGCUGUGACUCGAGUCCGGUAGGGGAGUGUGGAAUUCCCGGUGUAGCGGUGAAAUGCGCAGAUAUCUGGAGGAACACCGGUGGCGAAGGCGGCAUCCUGGACCGGCACUGACGCUGAGGAGCGAAAGCCAGGGGAGCAAACGGG
rnacentral:rRNA from 1 species